rnacentral:rRNA from 1 species
UACGAAGGGGGCUAGCGUUGCUCGGAAUUACUGGGCGUAAAGGGCGCGUAGGCGGAUAUUUAAGUCGGGGGUGAAAGCCCAGGGCUCAACCCUGGAAUUGCCUUCGAUACUGGAUAUCUUGAGUUCGGAGAGGUGAGUGGAAUGCCGAGUGUAGAGGUGAAAUUCGUAGAUAUUCGGCGGAACACCAGUGGCGAAGGCGACUCACUGGCCCGAUACUGACGCUGAGGCGCGAAAGCGUGGGGAGUAAACAGG